CUAAUGGAAUUAUCCAGUUCAGAAUGAAAUCAUGUCUGAGUGACCUUCUUCAGUCUGGCUGUAGAUCUGUGGCUGACAGGUUUAAGGUUUUAUUUUAUUUUUUUCAUAGGUUAGUGUGAUGUCAGAGCCGUGUCCAGCUGUCACUCACAGAUUAGACUUUCUCUGAACAGAUAAGAUGACACCCCCCCCCCCCCCAUCAUAAAAACACUGAAGCAAAGAGAGGAAAAUGAGUGUAAACAUACUUAUUUUAUUCAGUAGAAGAAAAUACUGAACUUUAUGACUGGAUUAUGAACAUUCAGGAGCAAAAAGACCAAGAAACAAACCCUUAAAGCACAGAAAACGUCUUUUCAUGUUCGACUCUUGGUAUUUCACUGAUGCUUUUGGACUUUCUGGUUUUCCGUGUUUUCUGACAGUUUACUCGUGCUCUUUUUCAACCAAAACUGGAAUCUUAUGCCUUAAAACCUUAAAGAGAGAUGUUUUACUAUUUUUCAAGAACAUAUAAUUUUUUGGAAGUGGGAUGUUAUUUUUUUUUACAUAGAUUUAACCCAAAAUUUGCAUAAUUGGAGUAAAAUAGGAGAGGAUGUCCACUGGUACAACGACACUAUUACAAGAACUCAAACUAUUGAACAGAAUCCCUGUGAAUCACCACUGAUCCUGUUGUUUUUGUCAUGUAUGUCUGUUGUUCAUAUGUUUUAUGUUUAAUUGGACCAAAGUCAUUAACUCUGAACAUCUUAUUAUUCGACCAAAUCAGCCCAUUAGCUGUAUAGUUGUUGGCAGAUGUUUAUGUUGCACUGCUUGGUUUAUAGAAUUUACCUUCACAGUAAAUGGAGCAGAACUCAGCUUCUCAGUGUGUCACUUAAAAUCAUUAUGAGACACUCUAGUUAUGAAUGUAAAAUCAUUUAGAAAUAAAGCCAGUUAAAAAGU